CCCUCUAGAAACACCUCCCACUUCCAUAUGCAAAAGCAGGUUUGGAGAAUGGGCUAUGAGCUCCUCUGCAACUCUCUCACUCUCUCAAACACACACGCAUACACGAAAAAUUAAUUAGAGACACUAAUUUAGAAAUCAUAUCGACAGUUUUUCAUCUCUCUUUGAAUUCUCCCAUCGACGCCAAUAAUUAGGCGCGCCAGCAUACUCUAUCACCCACAUGCCAUCAACCGCCACAAAAUCGUCGUCACCCGCCGCCCUUCGCAGUCAUCCCGGCAUGUACGGUUCUUCCAAAACCCCCAAACGAGCAGUUUUAUCGGAUCAAGCAUGCCUUGAUUUUGAUUCCAACAAGCUCCUGAUCUUUGCAAAGAAGCAAUCAAUAUAAAGGUGCUCUUUCCGGUGUGUGAAAUUAUUCGAUGGCCUUAAUUGAUAUGUUUAAAGAUGUUAAAACAUAUUCUCGAGAUGAGAUCGAUGAUGUUAGCAAGGAAUGGGCAAUUGUGCGAUAAAGCAUGUGUUUGAUUGAAUACCAGCAUUGUUUUGGAUAAAGAGAGUCAUUGAGCUAAAGGGGUGUGUGGAUUCCAAGCAAUAUUAUUCGCCAGAAAUGCUAUUUCAGAUGUCUAGCUAACUACAUCUGUAAUAUGUUCUUUCUUUGAAUUAAGUCGGUUAUUUUGCUGUUCUUUUAGAUAGGUUUUUUCAAUCUUAGAUUUUUUUUCUUAGUUGUGCAAUUUUAGUAGAAGAUACAAAGCACUUAAUAUUAUUUGGCAUGCUUGUUCAAUUUACAUAAAUGUGGA